rnacentral:sRNA from 1 species
AUAAAUACCCUAUUUUAUAUUCCAAGCUUAUUUGAAACAUUACUAAUGACUCUUUCUCAGAUUUGAUUAGUUUCCCCUUCUUUAGCAUUUCAAGCAAUUGAGAAGAUACAUACCGGCUAGCGUUCUGCGGUGCCACAACAUGA